GGGUGUGAGAACUUAUGUAAAUGAGAUAUUACUGUAUUUCUGUAAUACAACCAAUAAAAUGGCAUCGAAAAACAUGUUUUCACUUUGUCAUUAUGGGGUAGUGUGUGUAGGUGGGCCAGGACAGGUAGAAGGACAGGUAGGUGUGUAGAUGGGCCAGGACAGGUAGCAGGACAGGUAGGUGUGUAGAUGGGCCAGGACAGGUAGCAGGACAGGUAGGUGUGUAGAUGGGCCAGGACAGGUAGCAGGACAGGUAGGUGUGUAGAUGGGCCAGGACAGGUAGGUGUGUAGAUGGGCCAGGACAGGUAGCAGGACAGGUAGGUGUGUAGAUGGGCCAGGACAGGUAGGUGUGUAGAUGGGCCAGGACAGGUAGCAGGACAGGUAGGUGUGUAGAUGGGCCAGGACAGGUAGGUCUAUAGGACAGGUAGCAGGACAGGUAGGUGUGUAGAUGGGCCAGGACAGGUAGCAGGACAGGUAGGUGUGUAGAUGGGCCAGGACAGGUAGCAGGACAGGUAGGUGUGUAGAUGGGCCAGGACAGGUAGGUGUGUAGAUGGGCCAGGACAGGUAGCAGGACAGGUAGGUCUAUAGGUGGGUCAGGACAGGUAGGUGUGUAGAUGGGCCAGGACAGGUAGGUGUGUAGAUGGGCCAGGACAGGUAGGUGUGUAGAUGGGCCAGGACAGGUAGCAGGACAGGUAGGUGUGUAGAUGGGCCAGGACAGGUAGCAGGACAGGUAGGUGUGUAGAUGGGCCAGGACAGGUAGGUGUGUAGAUGGGCCAGGACAGGUAGGUGUGUAGAUGGGCCAGGACAGGUAGGUGUGUAGAUGGGCCAGGACAGGUAGGUGUGUAGAUGGGCCAGGACAGGUAGGUGUGUAGAUGGGCCAGGACAGGUAGGUGUGUAGAUGGGCCAGGACAGGUAGGUGUAUA